GGCCAGGUAGCUCAGUUGGUUAGAGCAUUGUCCUGAUAUGCCAAGGUUUGGGGUUCAAUCUCUGGUCA
rfam:Myotis lucifugus cont2.47636, whole genome shotgun sequence.